GCUUCUUAUACUCCGGCCUUCAGGACACCCACCCUCCCCUGAGAAGUGGCUAAGGGCUCCAGCAGACGUGCGGCUCCGUGGAUGAAGAAUUCUGUUGUCUAUAAUCCCAGGAACAGUACUAUCAAAAUACUUUUGUUUAAAAUGAGAUGAGCAUUGUCACAAUUUGGAAGAGAUCUUCCCAGCAGCUUUUGGCAUGUAAUGCAAAAGAGCUAAGCUACAAUAAAUUGUACAGGUGGGCUUCAAUGGUUAACCACUCCUCACCGCUCCAAACUUGACUUUUUAGAUGCAUAAAAAGAAAGUAAAUCAACUCUUAGAUGGAGAUACAUUUUUGGAAGAUGAGAACAUUCCCUUUGAUGAGAAACAAGGAAAGGAAAGGAUGGGAAAUGAAGAAUUCACUAACCCCAGUUUCAGGAGGCCAGAUGAAUCCAACAAUGCUGCACUGAGUUGUGCUUCUCCUGAAUGGUCUGGUCACACAGCCCUGGAGUGUCCCCACAUUAGUUAUGAUAUACUACUUUACAAGUUUUAAAGAUAUGUAAAUAUAAGUUAUUGUUAUAGGCAACUAAGUCAUAUGGUAGAUAGAAUAGCUGAACCUAGAGUUGGGAGAACUUCAGUUCAACUUUGACUUCAAACAUCUACAAGUUGUGUGACUUUAAAGGUACUUAUUAAACAUU